UACGUAGGGUGCAAGCGUUAUCCGGAAUCACUGGGCGUAAAGCGUGCGUAGGCGGGAAUUUAAGUGAGUCGUUAAAUCGUGUGGCUCAACCAUAUCGAUGCAAUUCAUACUGGGUUCCUAGAGGAAGGCAGAGGCAAGUGGAAUUUGUAGUGUAGCAGUGAAAUGCGUAGAUAUUACAAGGAACACCAAUGGCGAAGGCAGCUUGCUGGGCCUUUUCUGACGCUGAGGUACGAAAGCGUGGGGAGCGAACAGG
rnacentral:rRNA from 1 species